rnacentral:rRNA from 1 species
AUUGAACGCUGGCGGCAUGCUUUACACAUGCAAGUCGAACGGCAGCACAGGGAGCUUGCUCCCGGGUGGCGAGUGGCGCACGGGUGAGUAAUACAUCGGAACGUGUCCUGUUGUGGGGGAUAACUGGUCGAAAGACUAGCUAAUACCGCAUGAGACCUGAGGGUGAAAGCGGGGGAUCGCAAGACCUCGCGCAACUGGAGCGGCCGAUGCCCGAUUAGCUUGUUGGUGAGGUAAAGGCUCACCAAGGCGACGAUCGGUAGCUGGUCUGAGAGGACGACCAGCCACACUGGGACUGAGACACGGCCCAGACUCCUACGGGAGGCAGCAGUGGGGAAUUUUGGACAAUGGGGGCAACCCUGAUCCAGCCAUGCCGCGUGCAGGAUGAAGGUCUUCGGAUUGUAAACUGCUUUCGUCAGGGACGAAAAGGACUGUGUUAAUACCAUAGUCUGCUGACGGUACCUGAAGAAUAAGCACCGGCUAACUACGUGCCAGCAGCCGCGGUAAUACGUAGGGUGCAAGCGUUAAUCGGAAUUACUGGGCGUAAAGCGUGCGCAGGCGGUUCUGUAAGACAGAUGUGAAAUCCCCGGGCUUAACCUGGGAAUUGCAUUUGUGACUGCAGGACUAGAGUUCAUCAGAGGGGGGGUGGAAUUCCAAGUGUAGCAGUGAAAUGCGUAGAUAUUUGGAAGAACACCAAUGGCGAAGGCAGCCCCCUGGGAUGCGACUGACGCUCAUGCACGAAAGCGUGGGGAGCAAACAGG